AUGACUGAACAAGCUUUCUCUGUGACUGGACCUAGGUUAUCAUUAGUUCAGAGACAUAGUAGAACACAAGGUCUUCUUUACCACAAAAAGAUCCUAUGUUAUAGAUUGAAAAAAGUAAGGAUUUUUCUUCUUAUAGGAACUAAGAUAAGUGUCAGCUCACUACUUGCUUUAUGGUUCUAUCCUUUUCCCUGUUCUGCUUUCAGGUGCUACAGCAUGCUUACUGGGUCUGACUGUUAUAUAUCACAUUUUUACCAGCUGCUAAACAUGCAACUUAUAGAUAAUGAAGUCUGGAGUGUGGUCUCUGUAUACGAAGUGAUAAGCAGCCCUUACAGCAUCCUGUCACUUAAGCAGAGAGCUCAGAUUCUAAGAAAAUCUACUGUAAAGUAGGGGAAAAAAAGGAAGACAAUGCAGAAUAAAGCAAAUGAAUUUUUAAAGGCA
rnacentral:lncRNA from 1 species